AAAGCACAUGGUUCAAAAGUGAAACCUAACAACGCUCAAACCUUUCUCUCUUUUAAUUUUCAUCUUUUCCAUUCACGCUUAACCUCUUUCAUCUCUCAAAAUUCUCUCUCACGCUCAUAUUCUCCUAGAACUAUCUCUCUAGUUUUCUCGAUUUACACUCAACCUCUCUUAAAAAAUGUUUCACUGUUACGAUUCAUCAUAUCAUCUCUCAAGCUUUCAUCAUAUUCUCAUGCGAUUUUCUCGAUUCCUCACUUAACUCUCCGUGUUCAUGAUUUUGGUUCCACGAUUAACACUCUUAUUCUAUGUUUCUCAUCAUCCUAA